CCCUUAGAUGUUCUGGGCCGCACGCGCGCUACACUGAUGCAUUCAACGAGUUUCUUCCUGGUCCGAGAGGAAUGGGUAACCUUUUGAAAGUGCAUCGUGAUAGGGAUAGAUUAUUGCAAUUAUUAAUCUUCAACGAGGAAUGCCUAGUAGGCGCAAGUCAUCAGCUUGCGUCGAUUACGUCCCUGCCCUUUGUACACACCGCCCGUCGCUCCUACCGAUUGGGUGUGCUGGUGAAAUGUUCGGAUCGGCCGUUUGUCGCGGUUUCCGCGUCAUGUGGCUGAGAAGUUCAUUAAACCCUCCCACCUAGAGGAAGGAGAAGUCGUAACA
rnacentral:rRNA from 1 species